rnacentral:rRNA from 1 species
GAGGAAUAUUGGGCAAUGGGCGCAAGCCUGACCCAGCCAUGCCGCGUGCAGGAAGACAGCCUACGGGUUGUAAACUGCUUUUAAAUGGGAAGAAUCCCACGCUCGUGAGCGUGGUUGACGGUACCAUAAGAAUAAGCAUCGGCUAACUCCGUGCCAGCAGCCGCGGUAAUACGGAGGAUGCAAGCGCUAUCCGGAUUCAUUGGGUUUAAAGGGUGCGUAGGCGGAAUAAUAAGUCAGUGGUGAAAUCCUGCAGCUUAACUGUAGAAUUGCCAUUGAUACUGUUAUUCUUGAGUAUAGUUGAGGUAGGCGGAAUGUGUAAUGUAGCGGUGAAAUGCUUAGAUAUUACACAGAACACCAAUUGCGUAGGCNGCUUGCUAAACUAAHACUGACGCUGAGGCACGAAAGCGUGGGGAGCAAACAGGAUUA